ensembl:lncRNA
CAAGAGAUAACUGAGUCAGGGAGAGUGGCACGGACUGGAGAGGCUGGAGUCUGAUCAGCCGGGAGAGCCCCCGACACGGCUGUCCACGGUCCCUGGGCCCGGAUCCCUGCCCCUGCAGUUCUAAGUCACAGGUCCUGUCAUUUAGUGCAGCCCGACCCCGUGCACCCGCCGCCCUCUGCAUUAGGCUCCUGAUCCCCUCCUGGCAGGUCACUCUUUGGUUCCUAUUCAGCUUUCAUGAGUCCCCCUAACCGUGCUGGUGACAAGUACAGAUUAAUUUCUCGGCCUGACUUGGAUGGUUUUCGUCUUCGAUUCCUCCGUAUCCCCAGGGCAGCUCCAGGCAUGUUGGUGUCUUAAUUCAUCAUCUGUGAUUUUACAAAGGGAUCGCCCAGCAUGGGGACACUUCCACGUCACACAUCUCACGGCACAGGCCACCUGAGAGAUCUCCCUGCAGUGUCCACACUGACCUAGGAUGUCUCCCUAGUUCCCCUGCUGUGUCUACACUGAUCCCAGUUGUCUCCUUUCUUCCCCUAUUUUUACUGACCUGGGAUGGCUCGCUGCUUCCCCACAUGUGUGCACACAGACCUGGUGGUCUCCCCAGUUACCCUGUUGUGUCUACACUGAGCCUGUGGUGUCUCCCUAGCCACCCCUGGCCCUACACUGGCCACAUGAGCACAGUCAUGUCUUGCUAGAGAAACAGCCUGCAGCAGGUGCUCAGCGCCCUCCCUGCCCGUGAGCCCACUGUGCUCAGGCGGGAGCACCUGCUCCAGGUCUUGAGGCAUCAAUCCAGGACCCUUUCCUGCCUGCGAAUCUAUUUCAGACAAAACCUCUUACACCAGCAGCGUAAUGAGCCACCCCUGCUCCAGGAUCAAGCCCUCCAGGAACCUCAGUGCCCACGUCCAGGUGAACCCUGGAGACCGGCCCACAUUGAAGAGGAGCGAGUGGGGCCAAUGGUCACAGAGAAAGGCCUGCCGAGUCUCAGACACCCCGCCCUGCAUCUCAGGCUGCAGCCAGGAGAGGUUCAGGCACCUCCCACAGUCGAGGCCUCUGAGGCCCCCAGGUUGUUGAGAUACAGGCAGCACAGGCCAUUGGAUAAGCCACAGAUCUCCAUGUCUGAGUUCGGUUACUGGAAGACUAUUGUGAUCUUUUCGUGAUGUCCUGUUUCCUUGAUUCUUCAUCUUCCGUGGAGUUUUGUGUUGCUGUUUCACAUUUGAUGUAUCAGUCACAUUCUCCAGGCUUUACCAGCCGCCUUCAGGUGUGUCUUCUCUGACCAGUUGUGUCCCAAAUUCCCCAGGAGUAUCUAUUCUGACUUGGAACAUCUUACUAGUUCACCAGGUGUGACAACCCUGACCUGGCAGACUUCUUUGUCUCCGAGAUACGUCUACCAUGAAUUUGAAUGCCUCUAUAAUUCUCCACGUGUCCACACUGACAUGGGAUGUCUCCCUAAUUACCCAGGUUUGUCUACAGUGACCUGGGAGGUCUUAAUAUUUCCCCAAAUGUGUCUACAGGGAUGUUGGAUGUCUACCACUUCUCCAGGUGUCUCCACUAUAAACUAGGAUAUCAUCCUAAUUCAAGAGGUGUGUCUGCCUGACCUGGAAUGACUCUAUUGUUAUGUAGUAUGCAGGUUUAUCUACUCUGACAUGGGAAGUCUCCCCAGUACCAAGAUGUGCCUAAUUGACCUGAUGUGUCUCCCCAGUCUCCCAGCGUGACUUCCUUGACCUGGGAUGUCUCCCUAAGUGCUCAGGUGUGCCUAUCCUGAAGUGAGAUCUCCUCCUAAACACCCAGUGAAGUCAUCUGUCGGUGGGCCAGUGUUUGUGAACAUAUAUUUGAGAGCUUUGAGAAAUUAUAACACAUUGGGAAGACUACAGUGAUGACUAUGAGAAGAAUAACACCCAAAGUUUGGAGCGCACUCUGAAGCCAAGGUCUUCAUGUCCCAAAUCAGCUGAAAUCAAACAGGUUGAAGAAUGAUUCAGGGUUAAGUUUAACCUGCUUAAGAGCCUAGAAGCAAGGUUCCCUAGGUUUGGCGUUGUUAACCAGAGACAGGGAAAUUGACUCCCACGAUUACGGAGUCUGGCACAAUAGAGAGAGGGCUGAGUCUGCUCCAGAGAAACUGAGGCACUGGAAAGCAGGGAGAAGUUUGUGACGGGCAGAACUACAGGAUCAUCAGCCUCGUGACAAAUCCAAUGGUCAGUUGCAUGACCUCCUUUGUGAUGGUAUGAAAGAUGAGAACAAUGUCAUUAUCUUUCCAGAACAGAGCAAGCAAAAAAGGUGGACAAAAGAAUCAUAAAGACCUUCAUGAUAUAUAAAUUAAGGCAAGAAUUAGGAAAAAGAUAAUCAAAGAGGGGAGGAGGAAUGGAAACAAACUUUCUUGAUCCAAUGUCAUUGGAGGAAGCAGUCUACCACGUGGUGUCAGCUGCUUCUCUUCCUGGUCAAGUUAGUUUUGAUUCUCCGCCAUCAAUGCAGGACCAGAGGGCAGAUCGUUCCACUUGUGAAACGUGCACCCAAGGUUUGACACCUUGUAACUUGGCAGUGGUGUCAGCAUUCAAGAGCGCUUGGUAGAAUCUUUCCAUGAAUCUCUUUGAAGACGAAUCCCUUUUGCAAAAGCAUCAAAGUAAAUCAAUAACUGUCUGUAAGUGACAAAACCUGAUGAGAGUUCAUUGAUUAAGGAAAUCUAGUCAUUUCUGUGGCAUAGGUUUUAACCUCAUAACUGGGAUUAUGAUAACAUUCUACCUGGAUAUAUGAGACUCCUAGGAAUUUCAUAUAAUUUCUGGAACAUUUAUAUUAAUAACAUGUAUCCAUACAAAUAUAACCUAAGAAGCUUUGGCAUCCCUUCUUAUUUCACAAUGCUUUCUAUAUAAUUUAACAUAUCAAAUAAAUCUAAUUAGUUUAACAUCUUACCAGGUAAAAGACAUAUCCUUUGAGAUUUUUCCAGGGGCCCUCUGGAAAAUCUCAAAGUUAGUUUGAAGUCAAAAAAGGCCUCCAUUUAGAAUUUGAUCUUGACAAGUUGUGAAAAAUGUCAAAACAUUUGAUUAAAUUGGAUCAUGGAUUAUUAUGAAAUAAUACUUAAUUAUCUAUUUAACCAACGUGACAAUAGAAGAUUUUCAAGGCAAAUAAAGAAGGUUACAGUUGUGAACAAAAUUUAGCUCUUUUAAUAUUGAGAAGACUCAGCUCUCCCAAGUGAUCAAAGACCUGAUAAAGAUAACAUGAAGCACAAGAAAUUCUGGUAAGAUACAAAAAUCUUUGCUUUCCAGAUAGAUUGCCCAAAAGGCAAAGAAAAACCUUUACAAUUUCUUAUCAAGGGCAGACCCAUAGUCCAAGAAAAUUUUGCCCUUUUCACAGAGAAAAAACCAAAUUCUAGUUUUGCGUUAGUG